UACAGAGGAUGCAAGCGUUAUCCGGAAUGAUUGGGCGUAAAGCGUCCGUAGGCGGCUUUUUAAGUCCGCCGUCAAAUCCCAGGGCUCAACUCUGGACAGGCGGUGGAAACUACCAAGCUGGAGUACGGUAGGGGCAGGGGGAAUUUCCGGUGGAGCGGUGAAAUGCGUAGAGAUCGGAAAGAACACCAGCGGCGAAAGCGGUCUGCUGGGCCGACACUGACGCUGAGAGACGAAAGCUAGGGGAGCGAAUGGG
rnacentral:rRNA from 1 species